ACAGGAAAAGGGAAGGAGGGGACAGGCCUGUAAAGUCCCCUGUCACCUCGCUGGUUUCAGCGCCAUCGCAGGCACGCAAAAGGAGAGAUAAAAAUACCUCCCCCGAGGCUGCUCAGGGGUGAAAUGAGAUAACUCACGCUGGCACAGGCGGUGUGGCCUCUCUGCUCUGAGUCGUGGGGUCAGUCAGGGCUAGAGGAGGAGGAAGGAUCAAGAGAUGUGCACAGCUGGUGAAAGAAGAAACUGAAGGAGAUUGUGAAACUGACGGGAAAACAAGGAACACACAAGGCUGGCAGAGGCGGAAGGAGAGCCAUUCAGAGGACCCGUCAGCUCCACAGCAGGAUCCAAGGAAGCUGGGGCCUGGCUCUCCCCACAGGACCACCUCAGGAGCCUGUGGACCAUUCCCAGGAACUGCUUUAUCUGUCAGGAGACACUUGGCACGCAGACUAUACCCUUUAUAGAGACAGCACCUCAUCCCUUAACUGGAUCAAGAUUAGCUCCAAGACGCUGGGACGGCGCAGCAUGACACUGUGGAGCCUGGUUAAGGCGUGGAGACGGCAGCAGUAGCAGAGCAGGAAGACCUACCGUGCUCUCUACGUGUUAGGCUCCCGUGGUACUGCCCGGCUUGCAUAGAGAGGCCCUGCAACUUGCCCAAGGUUACUGACGGUUCACCACGGGCCCAGGUUCCAAGUUCCACUCACAGCCACCGCCAACCUCUUCAUCAACUAGCGCACUGACAGAAUCUAUUUGGGAUGCAGGGUGUUUUGAAAAUGACUGACGAGGGCUUGGGAGACGGCCCAGUGGGCGAAGAGCUUGGCUCGUGCGAGAGGACCUCGGUUUGACUGUCUCAACCCAUGUGAAGAAAAGAAAGACAGGGCGUGGUCCUUGUGACCCCAGCGGUGCCUCCUCAGUUGCUGAACAGGAGUUUGAGUUCGAGGCCUCUAGCCCCGUGAAGCGUUGCAAGCCUCUCUAUGAGCAAGGAUCCUGCCCAGCAAGGGAACCCUGCGGCUCGCCCAGUGGACACUGCGGCCCGGCACAAAGGACAGACAGAUAGGCACGGCUGCUCUACCGGGCUUGGUGUGGGAAGCCACCCUUUCCUCCCGCGUGGCGACCCCAGUGUCCCUUUCCUACUGCUGGCCUGUGGUCCGAGGGGCAGCUAGGGUUGGAGCCCUGUCACUUAAUGCAGACGGAGAUAGCCAAAGAGAGGACUACACACAAGUGUCAGCCAGCGGUGCCAAGGAGGGGCUAGGAAGACGGCUCCAGCGUGUCCCCAUGACCCCAGAGCCUACGUCAGAGCCCUAAACGUCAGAAGCAGCAGCAUAGGCACCCGCCACUCCACUGAGGCCACAGGGAGAUGGAGGCAGAGACAGGGGCAUCCUUGGAAGCUCUUGGGCCAGCUAGUGGGCUUAGGAGCUGGUGAACCACAAGAAAGAUCCUGGCUCAAAAAAGGUGGGAAGUCAAGCCCAACACCCCACAUUGUCCUCUGACCUCCACAGACACACAGUGGUAUGCAUGCCUCUGCACUGCCUUACACACUC